rnacentral:rRNA from 1 species
UAUCCAACCUACCGAUAACUCCGGAAUAGCCUUUCGAAAGAAAGAUUAAUACCCGAUGGCAUAAUAGAACCGCAUGGUUUGAUUAUUAAAGAAUUUCGGUUAUCGAUGGGGAUGCGUUCCAUUAGGCAGUUGGUGGGGUAACGGCCCACCAAACCUUCGAUGGAUAGGGGUUCUGAGAGGAAGGUCCCCCACAUUGGAACUGAGACACGGUCCAAACUCCUACGGGAGGCAGCAUG